rnacentral:rRNA from 1 species
UCGUAUUUUUUUAUUAAUUUUUUUUUUGUUUUGUUUAUUGGGUGAAAUAUUAUGUUUUUAGUAGUUUUUGAAUAAUUUUAUUUAAUUAUAGUUUAUGGUACAGUGAUGGGUUUAGGUUAUGAUUUUAGAAGAAGAAUUUUUUCGUACCUUGUGUAUCAGGGUUGAUUAAAAUAUUUUCAUGUGUAUGGAUUUCUCGAAUUUAAAAGAUUUAAUUGAGAAUUUAUUUUAUUGUUGAAUAAAUAUUUAUAAUUCUUUAUUUGAAAUGAGAUGUUAUUCGUUUUUAACUAUAUCUAGUUUUCCGAGAAAUGAAUUUAAUUUAUUGAUCUUUAAGUAGGGGUAUGUUUUUAUAUUUUCUUUUUUAUGGUCAAAUAUAUUAGACGGGAUUAGCUGUUUAAUAAAGUUUUAAAAGAGGUUGCGUAUAGAUUUUUGGGUAGGAUUAGAAUUUUCCAUCUUUUGAAGUAUGUUAUAGUUUAUAUAUUGAUUUUUUUAUUUUUAUUUUCUUUAGGUUUUUUAUUGGAAUUUAUCUGGGAAUUUUUAUUAGUUAGUAAUAAUGAUUGAAUUAGUAUAUUUAAUUGUGUUUUUAUUUAUUGGUUUAAAGAUAAGUAAAAGGAAUUCGGCAAAUUAAUUUUCACCUGUUUAUUAAAAACAUGUCUUUUUGUUAUUAUUUAAAGUCGGGCCUGCCCAGUGAUUUGAGUUAAAUGGCCGCAGUAUAUUGACUGUGCAAAGGUAGCAUAAUCAUUAGUUUCUUAAUUAGAAGCUGGUAUGAAUGGUUUGAUGAGAAAUUAGCUGUCUCUUAUUUAUUGAUUGAAUUUUAUUAUUGAGUUAAAAAGCUCAAAUUUUUUAGAAAGACGAGAAGACCCUAUAGAGUUUGAUACAUUAGGUUUUUAGAAUAAUUGGGUUUGAUAUUUUUAGGUAUUUUGUGUAUUUUGUUGGGGUGACAUGAAAAUUUAUAAAACUUUUUAUUAUUUUUACACUUGUUUGUGAAUUUAUGAUCCUUUUUUUGAGAUUAUAAGAUUAAAUUACCUUAGGGAUAACAGCGUAAUUUUUUUUGAGAGUUCUAAUCGAUAAAGAAGUUUGCGACCUCGAUGUUGGAUUAAAAUUUAGGUAAGGUGUAGUAGCUUUAUUAUUGGGUCUGUUCGACCUUUAAAAUUUUACAUGAUCUGAGUUUAGACCGGUGUGAGCCAGGUUGGUUUCUAUCUUUUAAAAAUUUUAUGCCUUAGUACGAAAGGACCAGGCAUGGGAAUAAUAUUUUUAUAUUGAAUACUAU